rnacentral:snoRNA from 1 species
AACCCAUGGUGAGGGCACCUUCGCAAAAGCUCCUUCUAUCUCUCCCAUUCCUCAUAGAGUGUUUUUAGAUCCAUCUGCACAAAAGAGGAGAUAUCAUUACGUAAUUU